rnacentral:rRNA from 1 species
UCGAGCAGGGACGAAAGUCGGGCUUAGUGAUCCGGAGGUUCCCCAUGGAAGGGCCAUCGCUCAACGGAUAAAAGCUACCCUGGGGAUAACACGCUUAUCUCCCCCAAGAGUCCACAUCGACGGGGAGGUUUGGCACCUCGAUGUCGGCUCGGCGCAUCCUGGGGCUGUAGUCGGUCCCAACGGUUGGGCUGUUCGCCCAUUAGAGCGGCACGCGAGCUGGGUGCAGAACGU